CUUCCUCGUUUGACGGCACGUAUACUAAAAUUGGAAUGACACAGAGAUUAGCAUGGCCCCUGUGCAAGGAUGACACACAAAUUCGUGAAGCGCUCCAUAUCUUA
rnacentral:snRNA from 1 species